GGCUCAGAGUGAACGCUGCGGGCAUGCCUAACACAUGCAAGUCGAACGGAGUUGUUUGCGAUUACAUCAAGAGCAACUGAGUGGCAGACGGGUGAGUAACACGUGGACAAUCUGCCUUCGAGAGUGGGAUAACCCUGGGAAACCAGGGCUAAUACCGCGUAAGACCACGUCCCCGCAUGGGGAUGGGGCCAAAGCUCCGCAAGGGGCGCUUGAAGAGGGGUCCACGGCCUAUCAGCUUGUUGGUGAGGUCACGGCUCACCAAGGCUACGACGGGUAGGCGGUCUGAAAGGACGACCGCCCACAAUGGCACUGAGACACGGGCCAUACUCCUACGGGAGGCAGCAGUGGGGAAUUUUGCGCAAUGGGGGCAACCCUGACGCAGCGAUGCCGCGUGGAGGACGAAGGUCUUCGGAUUGUAAACUCCUUUUGCAGGGGACAAAUGGUCCCGUGAAUAACGGGAUUUGAUGGUACUCUGCGAAUAAGCCACGGCUAACUUCGUGCCAGCAGCCGCGGUAAGACGAAGGUGGCGAGCGUUACUCGGAAUUACUAGGCGUAAAGCGUGGGUAGGUGGUUCGGUAAGUCUGUUGUGGAAGCUCCCGGCUUAACCGGGAGAGGCCAAUGGAAACUACCGGACUUGAAUGUGGGAGGGGUCACUGGAAUUCCUGGUGUAGCGGUGAAAUGCGUAGAGAUCAGGAGGAACACCAAAGGCGAAAGCAGGUGACUGGACCACUAUUGACACUGAGCCACGAAAGCUAGGGGAGCAAACAGGAUUAGAUACCCUGGUAGUCCUAGCCAUAAACGAUGCUCACUAGGUGUGGGAGGUAUCGACCCCUUCCGCGCCGACGCUAACGCAUUAAGUGAGCCGCCUGGGGAGUACGGCCGCAAGUUGAAACUCAA
rnacentral:rRNA from 1 species